UUUAAUUGUAAAUAAUUUUUAAAAUUAGUAUUAGUUAAGUUCUUUAAAUUUAAAGAUUUUGGCGGUAUUUUAGUCUUUUCAGAGGAACCUGUCCUAUAAUUGAUAAUCCACGAUUAUUUGAACUUUAUUUAUUAUUUGUAUAUCGUCGUAUAUUAAAUAUAUUAAAAGAUUAUAUUAAUUUUUUAUAAUAAAAUAAUUCAGAUCAAGGUGCAGUUUAUAAUAAAGGAGAGAUGGGUUACAAUUUUUUAUAGAUGUGAAUAAGAUUUUUAAAAAAUUUUUAAAAAUGGAUUUGAAAGUAAUUAUUAUAAAUAUUUUAUUGAUGAUUAAAGCUCUAAAAUAUGU
rnacentral:rRNA from 1 species